UACGUAGGGGGCAAGCGUUGUCCGGAAUCAUUGGGCGUAAAGAGCGUGUAGGCGGUUCGGUAAGUCGGCUGUGAAAGUCCAGGGCUCAACCCUGGGAUGCCGGUCGAUACUGCCGGACUAGAGUUCGGAAGAGGCGAGUGGAAUUCCCGGUGUAGCGGUGAAAUGCGCAGAUAUCGGGGAGGAACACCUAUGGCGGAAGGCGGUUCUCUGGGCAUUACCUGA
rnacentral:rRNA from 1 species